ensembl:lncRNA
UGCUCUGUUCCUUUCCUUUCUUUGUUUGACUACUGAGUGGAAAAAAAGCGAGACAGAAAACGAGUGCGUGUGUGUGUGUGUGUGUGGGAGAGAGAGAGAGGGUGAGUGAAAGAGGGAGAGAACGGAAAGAGGAGAUCCAAAGCGAGAAGCACACACUUUUUUUCUGGAAGAGAGAGAGAGACAAAAACACAAUUCUAUUUAUGUAUCAUUUGUCUUCUAUAUUUUUUUUUUUUACUCUGCAUGCUUCUGACACCAGUGUCGGGUUGGUGGGCUGGUUGUGUGUGUUUAAUUUGUUGUUGUGUGCAUCGGUUCGUCGCUCAGUGUGUGUGUGGGGGGGGACCUGGUUCCUGGCCCCCGUCUGUCCGUCUGGUUUAAAGAGAACAGAAGGGAAAACAAAGCUAAGGCUGCAGCCGCUGCUCUGCCCUAGCUAGCUAACACAACACAACAAUCUGGAUAUUACUACUACCUAAUCAGUGCCGCAGCCUAAGCCCUAACCAAGGAGGUGCAGGCAGAGAGAGAGAGAGCGCCUGAGGUGUCGUAAUAUGGUGGUCAACUGACCCUCCAACCUCCCUGCCGCUGACCAGACUGAAGACGUGGCAUAUACAGACAUAGAAAUCUGUGCCCGGGGAAGAAGGGAGCGAGAUAAGAGUCCAGGAAAGCAGAGGAAGAAAAUAUUUUAGAAUGAGAAAAGAGGGAGGCUGGUAACGGAGAGUGAGAGAAACUGACAGAGAGGGUGUGAGAGAGAGAGAGAGAGAGCGAGAGAACACCCCCCCAAGUCAACCAUGCCCACACGACCUUUAGGCCCCCUCAUAUCAGACCCAUGCCCCUCCUGUCCACCCCAUGCACCCCACCUCCGCCAAGAGGGCCUCAACAUGUAAGUCACACAUACACCCAGGCUGUGAGCGGGGCAAACAGGCCCAACCCCCACUACACUAGCCCAAGCCAAUGGCAUGUACCAGAUGCUCAGCAGGCUCUGCUCACACUUACUGGCCUGAGGCCAAACCACACGACCAACAACAUUGGACACUUUAUGGAACACAAAGCCUUCACAAUCUUAUCCUGGAAUAUCAAAGGCCUGAGGUUAUCUGCCUUUGGCCUAAAGAGCAGGAACCUGGACUUCAUCAAAGAAAUCGGUAAUACAGACAUUGUCAUCCUGCAAGAAACCUGGUAUAGAGGAGACGGACCCACUGGUUGCCCUCUAGGUUACAGAGAGCUGGUAGUCCCAUCCAUCAAACUACCAGGUGUGAAGCAGGGAAGGGACUCCGGGGGUAUGCUAAUUUGGUAUAGAGCAGAUCUAACUCUAUUAGAUUAAUCAAAACGGGAACAUUUUACAUCUGGCUAGAAAUUCAAAAGAAAAUUAUCUUAACAGAGAAAAAUGUCCCCCUGUGUGCUACCUAUAUCCCUCCAAUAGAAUCCCCAUACUUUAAUGAAGACAGCUUCUCCAUCCUGGAGGGGGAAAUCAAUAAUUUCCAGGCCCAGGGACAUGUCGCGACCUAAAUGCCAGAACCGGACAAGAACCUGACACCCUCAGCACACAGGGGGACAAACACCUGCCUGGAGGUGACAGCAUUCCUUCCCCCAUAUGCCCCCCUAGGCACAACUAUAACAACCUAACCAACAAAAACGGGUCACAACUCCUGCAGCUCUGUCGCACGCUGGGUAUGUACAUAGUCAAUGGUAGGCUUCGAGGGGACUCCAAUGGUAGGUACACCUAUAGCUCAUCUCUUUGCAGUAGUACUGUAGACUACUUUAUCACUGACCUCAACCCAGAGUCUCUCAGAGCGUUCACAGUCAGCCCACUGACACCCCUAUCAGACCACAGCAAAAUCACAGUCUAGUUGAACAGAACAAAGAAAGAAAAGAAAAUGAACAACAAUGACAAAUGGUUUGAUGAAGAAUUGCAAAAAUCUAAUGAAGACAUUGAGAAACCUGUCCAACCAAAAACAUAGAAACCCAGAAAGCCUGAGUCUACGCCUUCACUAUAGUAAAUAACUAAAACAAUACAGAAAUACACUAUGGAAAAAUUAGGAACAGAAAUCAGCUCAAUGUAAUUGAAGAAUCCAUAGACUCUAACCACUUCUGGAAAACACUAAACAAACAACAACACAAAGAAUUAUCUAUCCAAAAUGGAUAUGUAUGGAUAAACCACUUCUCCAAUCUUUUUGGGCCUAUAACAAAGACCAAACAUCAAAAACAUAUACAUAAUCAAAUACAAAUCUUAUAAUCAACUACUGGACUACCAGAACCCAUUGGAUUCUCCAAUUACCUUGAAUGAACUACAGGACAAAAUACAAACCCUCCAACCCAAAAAGGCCUGUGGUGUUGAUGGUAUCCUCAAUGAAAUGAUCAAAUAUACAGACAACAAAUUCCAAUUGGCUAAUACUAAAACUCUUAAACAUCAUACUUAGCUCUGGCAUUUGGAACCAAGGACCGAUCACCCCAAUCCACAAAGUGGAGACAAAUUUGACCCCAAUAACUACCGUGGGAUAUACAACAGCAACCUUGGGAAAAUCCUCUGCAUUAUCAUUAACAACAGACUUGUACAUUUCCUCAGUGAAAACAAUGUACUGAGCAAAUGUCAAAUUGGCUUUUUACCAAAUUACCGUACGACAGACCACGUAUUCACCCUGCACACCCUAAUUGACAAACAAACAAACCAAAACAAAGGCAAAGGAAAAGUCUUCUCAUGCUUUGUUGAUUUCAAAAAAGCCUUCGACUCAAUUUGGCAUUCGGGUCUGCAAUACAAAUUGAUGGAAAGUGGUGUUGGGGGGAAAACAUACAACAUUAUAAAAUCCAUGUACACAAACGGUGGAUAAAAUAAGCAAAAAACACAUAUUUCUUCCCACAGGGCCGUGGGGUGAGACAGGGAUGCAGCUUAAGCCCCACCCUCUUCAACAUAUAUAUCAACGAAUUGGCGAGGGCACUAGAACAGUCUGCAGCACCCGGCCUCACCCUACUAGAAUCUGAAGUCAAAGGUCUACUGUUGGCUGAUGAUCUGGUGCUUUUGUCACCAAUCAAGGAAUGCCUACAGCAGCACUUAGAUCUUCUGCACAGAUUCUGCCAGACCUGGGCCCUGACAGUAAAUCUCAGUAAGACAAAAAUAAUGGUGUUCCAAAAAAGGUCCAGUCACCAGGACCACGAAUACAAAUUCCAUCUAGACACCGUUGCCCUAGAGCACACAAAAAACUAUACAUACCUUGGCCUAAACAUCAGCGCCAGAGGUAUCUUCCACAAAGCUGUGAACGAUUUGAGAGACAAGGCAAGAAGGGCAUUCUAACACCAAAUAAUGCAUGCAGAGCAGAAUUAGGCUGAUACCCGCUAAUUAUCAAAAUCUAGAAAGAGACGUUAAAUUCUACAACCACCUAAAAGGAAGCGAUUUCCAAACCUUCCAUAACAAAGCUAUCACCUACAGACAGAUGAACCUGGAGAAGAGUCCCCUAAGCAAGCUGGUCCUGGGGCUCUGUUCACAAACACAAACACACCCCACAGAGCCCCAGGACAGCACCACAAUUAGACCCAAACAAAUCAUGAGUAAACAAAAAGAUAAUUACUUGACACAUUAGAAAGAAUUAACAAAAAAAAACAGAGCAAACUAGAAUGCUAUUUGACCCUAAACAGAGAGUACACAGUGACAGAAUACCUGACCACUGUGACUGACCCAAAAUUAAUGAAAGCUUUAACUAUGUACAUGGACUCAGUGAGCAUAGCCUUGCUAUUGAGAAAGGCCGCCGUAGGCAGACCUGGCUCUCAAGAGAAGACAGGCUAUGUGCUCACUGCCCACAAAAUGAGGUGGAAACUGAGCUGCACUUCCUAACCUCCUGCCCAAUGUAUGACCAUAUUAGAGACACAUAUUUCCCUCAGAUGACACAGAUCCACAAAGAAUUUGAAAACAAAUCUGAUUAUGAUAAACUCCCAUAUCUACUGUGUGAAAUACCACAGUGGGCAUCACAGCAGCAAGAUAUGUGACUCGUUGCCACAAGAAAAGGUCAACCAGUGAAGAACAAACAUAUUUAUGUAAAGACAACCCACAUUUAUGCUUAUUUAUUUCCCCUUUUGUAGUUUAACCAUUUAUACAUUGUUACAACACUGUAUGUAUACAUAAUAUGACAUUUGUAAUGUCUUUAUUAUUUUGGAACUUCUGUGAGUGUAAUGUUAACUGUUCAUUUUUAUUGUUUAUUUAACUUUUGUAUAUGAUCUAUUUCACUUGCUUUGGAAAUGCUAACAUGUUUCCCAUGAUAAUAAAGCCCCUUAAAUUGAAUUGAGACAGAGAGAGAGAGAGACCACAAAGAGUCAUUUACGAGGAGGAUGACGGUUAUGUACGACGUGUGUGUGUGUGUGUGUGUGUGUGUGUGUGUGUGUGUGUGUGUGUGUGUGUGUGUGUGUGUGUGUGUGUGUGUGUGUGUGUGUGUGUGUGUGUGUGUGUGUGCUGAGUAAGGCUUGUUGGACUUGUAGUGGCAUGGUCUGAGUCAGGAAUGAGUGUGAGCAUAAUUCUGAGGACUUACACACACACACACACACACGUCUGUCUGUUUCUCUAUCCACACAGUCCCGCAGAGAGGAGGCUGAGAGGCACUGUCUGUACCAGUGACACAUCCUCCUACUAUUACCA